GGCCCCAGCCAUUGGAGGAGGGGGUCUGGUGAAAGGAGAAGGGGACAGGGUGUAAGAUAAAAUAUGUUGCUAUCUUUGUCCCUCAACUGCAGUUGCAGCAGUUGAGGGACAAAGACUGAGGCAUGGAACCACUGGAAAGCCCUUAGAUUCUUCUUCUUCCUUUUUUUUUUUUUUUUUUUUUUUUUGUAGAGUUAGGGUCUCACUAUGUAGCCCAGGGUCUUGAACUCCUGGGCUCAAGUGAUCCACCUGUCUUGCCCUCCCUAAGUGCUGGGAUUACAGCCAUGAGCCGUUGCAUCUGGCCAGCCCUAGAUUCUUGAUGUAUCCUCUUUACCCAGCCCUUCUUUUUCCCUACCCACCCUCUGGUCUAGACCCCACCAGAAAGCCCAAUGCAGUGUGACUUCUCACCAUUCCCCCAACACCCAGAUACGAAAGCACAAAAUGCCAAUGUACCUUUCCUUCUGAGGCUACCAUGUUCAGCUGAGGGAGGAUGGGAAGGUGGAGAGGAUCCUGGGGGCUGCAGCCUUUUCCUGGCUCUGGGUCUCCCUAUCUUUGCUCUCUGCGAGGUCAUAAGCCGUGUUCAUAGUGAGCAGAAGGGGAUUCUUCUUCAAGCCAUGGACCCAAGAACGGACAGCCCAAGGGGAUCUUCACCGCUCCCAACUUCUGGGAGAGCCGCUGGAAGAGAGCGAGCCAAACAUUCACACAGCCAUGUCCAGAUGCCCUGUCCUGGGUCCUUAAUGCAUCUCCGAGUCCACUGUAUCCAUUCGUCCCUUGGGCUCAGUCACGUGCACUUGGGCUUCCUCAAUAGACAAUAGACUGCUGGGCUGGGAGGGUGAGGAGGAGAGCUGGAGCCUCCCUGUGGGCCCGAGGUCCCUUUGGCCGAUAAUAGGGGGAGGGAUUCCUAAGGGGGGUACAGGACGUAGCGCCCAGAUAAGACUUCUGCAGAACAAUAGGAGGAACUGAAGAGGGGAAACCCACCCUCACUGCACCCCACCCCCCAGGCUUUGGGGUCAUGGACUGGGGGACCAGAGGAUCAUGGGGAGGGGUGCCGAAGAUUCUUGUGAAUGGGGGGGGGAUCAUGGCAAACAGCAGGAUUCUGGAGUUAGAACCUUUAUAUUUCUUUAGGAACCAUAGGGACACAUGAGGGGGGUGGCUGACCCCUUUGAACUUAGUUUGACCACAUAUGUGCUUUUGAAUGCCUACUUUGUGAACAGCAUUUGUUUUUUGCUUGUUUGUUUGUUUUUUGUUCUUUUUGAGAUGGAGUCUUGCUCUGUCGCCCAGGCUUGAAUGCAGUGGCUCCAUCUCGGCUCACUGCAACCUCCACCUCCUGGGUUCAAGCGAUUAUCCUGCUUCAGCCUCCCGAGUAGCUGGAAUUACAGGCACCUGCCACCAUGCCCAGCUAAUUUUUGUAUAUUUUAGUAAAGACAGGGUUUCACCAUGUUGGUCAGGCUGGUCUCAAACUCCUGACCUCAGGUGAUCCACCUGCCUCGGCCUCAAAGUGCUGGGAUUACAGGCGUGAGCCAUUUCACCUGGCCUGUGAAAAGCAUUUGAAUGUGAUAAAUGGUGCUUCAGUUUUUUUGGUUCCUAAUAAAAAAAUAUCCUGUGGGUUCAGUAUUUCCCCCGAGGCCCUGAACUAGGCCCAGCCACUCCUCACAGAGGUGUGGGUGCUGGUUCUGUCAUUAUCCCUCUCCAAUACAUGUGGCUGCAUUCCAUGUCAGUAGGACAUGAAACUGCUUUUUGGAACCAGCUGUGCCCCAUGAAGAUGUGGGUCUGGGUGAGGUUCAGGAUGGGCGCUGAACUUUUUUGCUCUGGCUGGGAGAUUGUAGUGGCUCAGGGAAGGACCAGUGACCCAAGAGGAACCAGCCUCUCUCUCCGCCCAAGGUGCCGAUGGGGAAAGGAACCGGGAGUUAAGUGAAAAGUCUAAGGAAGGGUAAAUAGCGGGUGUUGAGUGUCGGGGUGCGCUUGCCUUUCGGAUUCUCUCUCUCUAAUAUCUACACAUUUCCACAGCCACCCCAGAGCCAGCGAUCAGAUCCGGCCAAGGAUGUCUGCAGAAACGCCUAACAUAGAGACUCUCCCUCUCCAAGCCGCGGCUCUCGCCAGACCCGAGAAGGUCCUCAAGCGAGGGUGACCUCAGGGCCGGAUUGGACCCUGCUUCGUGGGAGGCGGGACUCAGGGCUUAGCGGGAGGAGGAGUAUUUAAGACCGGGCGGAGUUGGAGGUGGCCAAGGGCAGAAUGAGCGGGAUUCAGGGCACCAGGACCUACCCAGGCGCGGGGGACACCUCUGACCUUAAGUACCCCUUGGGAACCAGGCUCAGGGAAGCUCUCACCGAGGCUCGGUUCCAUCAGCUCUUCGGCGGCGAAGAGCAGGAACCGGAGCUACCUGAAGAGCGCGGCUUUCCCCGGCUCUUCGGGCUGUGGAGACUGCGGGCUCGCGCUUGUUCCGGGACGGGGGCGUGGCGCCUGCUGCUGGCUCGGCUGCCCGCGCUGCACUGGCUGCCCCAUUACCGCUGGCUGGCCUGGCUGCUCGGAGAUGCGGUGGCCGGAGUGACCGUGGGCAUCGUGCACGUGCCCCAGGGCAUGGCUUUUGCUCUCCUGGCCUCCGUGCCCGCGGUGUUUGGACUCUACACUUCUUUCUUCCCUGUCCUCAUCUACAGCUUGCUAGGUACUGGGAGACACCUGUCCACAGGAACUUUCGCCAUACUCAGCCUCAUGACAGGCUCGGCAGUCGAGCGGCUGGUGCCGGAACCCCUCGUGGGGAACCUGAGCGGAAUCGAGAAGGAGCAGCUGGACGCUCAGCGGGUUGGGGUAGCCGCGGCCGUGGCCUUCGGGAGCGGGGCGUUGAUGCUGGGGAUGUUCGUGCUGCAGCUCGGCGUCUUGUCCACCUUUUUGUCCGAGCCUGUGGUCAAGGCGCUGACCAGCGGGGCCGCGCUGCACGUGCUCUUGUCCCAGUUGCCGAGCCUCUUGGGGUUGUCCCUCCCGCGCCAGAUCGGCUGCUUCUCUCUCUUCAAGACGCUGGCCUCCUUGCUGACCGCGCUGCCUCGGAGCAGUCCAGCCGAACUGACCAUCUCCGCGCUCAGCCUGGCGCUGCUCGUGCCGGUCAAGGAAUUGAACGUGAGAUUCCGAGACCGGCUACCCACGCCGAUCCCGGGGGAAGUCGUCUUGGUGCUUCUGGCCUCUGUGCUCUGCUUCACCUCUUCUGUGGACACAAGAUACCAAGUCCAGAUAGUGGGGCUGUUGCCUGGAGGAUUUCCCCAACCUCUCCUCCCCAACCUGGCUGAGCUGCCCAGGAUUCUGGCUGACUCGCUGCCCAUUGCACUGGUUACUUUUGCGGUGUCUGCCUCCCUGGCCUCCAUCUAUGCAGACAAGUAUAGCUACACUAUUGACUCCAACCAGGAGCUCCUGGCACAUGGUGCCUCCAACCUCAUCUCCUCCCUCUUCUCUUGCUUUCCCAACUUGGCUACGCUGGCCACCACCAAUCUACUGGUGGAUGCUGGUGGGAAAACACAGCUGGCAGGCCUCUUCUCCUGCACAGUGGUCCUGUUGGUGCUGCUGUGGCUGGGGCCCUUCUUUUACUGUCUGCCCAAGGCUGUCCUGGCUUGCAUCAACAUCUCCAGCAUGCGCCAGGUGUUCUGCCAGAUGCAGGAACUUCCACAACUAUGGCACAUCAGCCGAGUGGACUUUGCUGUGUGGAUGGUCACCUGGGUGGCUGUAGUGACCCUGAGUGUGGAUUUGGGCCUGGCUGUGGGUGUGGUCUUCUCCAUGAUGACUGUGGUCUGCCGCACCCGGAGCUCCUCCAGGUCCUGGGGCUCUGCAUCUUGAGCUAUCCAACACCACUGUACUUUGGGACCCGUGGGCAGUUUCGCCGCAACCUGGA